AGUUCAGAUGCUAAGAGCUUGCUCUAUGCAACACACCUUAUUUUAUCAGUGCCAUAUUCUUGCAUUUAUUUGAAUUUUGUUUUGUUUUUUAAUUUAUAUAUCUUAGUUUUAACUUUUACAGCUUUUGUUUUGUUUGUUACCCGAACAAGAUUUUUUUUAAACUCAGAAUGGACCAUCCAGGUUAUAAAUCUAUCAAAAUGUGUGUGCCCGAACAAGAUUUUUUUAAGCUCAGAAUGGACCAUUCAGGUUAUAAGCAAAAUCGGGUUGCCCUGGUUUGUCCUUGGUGCUUUAAAGUCGAUAAAACCUUGACAACUCAUCUGCGGAGGACGUGCAUGAGAUUUAGCUCAUUGGAAGAGAUCCAUGAAGUUGCACAUACUGCUCGGCGUCGCUUGUGGGACAUUGCAGAGAAGGCUACCGUAUUUGAUCAUCGUGAGAUCCAGAAGCUUACCUCUCCUGCUGAAUUCUCUGCCUUUUUGGAAAGGAAAGGAUUUUUCAUAGUGAACAAACCCCGGGAAACUGCUGAACCUAUAGCAACACCAUCCACUUCUGCUGCUGCUUCAGCCCCGGAUCGAGUAGAACUGGCUCCAGAAACAGGAGCAACCCAUCGACUGUCCUGUCUAAGAAGUGAACCUAUGGAGGACACUACCAUGCUAAGGGAAACUGCUGAACCAAUUGCAAGACCAUCCACUUCUGCUGCUGCUUCAGCCCCAGAUCGAGUAGAACUGGCUCCAGAAACAGGAGCAACCCAUCGACUGUCCUGUCUAAGAAGUGAACCUAUGGAGGACACUACCAUGCUAAGGGAAACUGCUGAACCGAUAGCAAGACCCUCCACUUCUGCUGCUGCUUCAGCCCCAGAUCGGGAAGAACAGGCACCAGAAACAGGAGCAACCCAUCCACUGUCCGGCCCUGUCCUGUUAAGAAGUGAACCUAUGGAGGACACUACCAUGCUAAGCUUUGUGACUUUAGAAGUGGUGCCUCUUGAUCUUGCCAUAGAAAACUGUGAACUGGAAUUCCCAUCAGGGACAGACCUUUCCCAUGCUGUUCCGGCUGCAUCAGUUUCAGAAGAGGAGCAAGGAGCAGCAGAAAAUAUUGAAAUCACAGAGCAUGAACACAUAGACAUUGACAACCCAGAGGAAGAUCAAGGCUUAGAGAGGGCAGCGAAAAUGAAUUGGACUUCAGAAAUAAGGCUGAAAAUGAAGGAAGCUGGUCUGUACAAUCGGCAUCCGUCGUCGGCCCCACUCCUGAAAGCAUUCACAGAUUUUCUGACACGUACAUUGGGUGUCACUAGGUACAAACAGGAGGUGGAAAACGUGGCUAGGUUCCUUUAUUUUAUGAACCCACAAGAUGCUAACUUGGCAUUUGUGAAAGACAUCCAAAGGACCAAUGAGUUUUUCUUGAAGCUGCAAGAGAUUGUCUCGCACCAGACAGUGUUCACUUAUUUGAAGCAUGUGAGGCGAUUCGUAAAAUUCCAGAUCGACAACACCAACUUGUUCGCAACUGAUCUGUCCAUGCACAAUGCCUGCAACAACUUUAUGAAAGCCACGGAUGCCCUUCAAAAAAGAAUCAGUAAAGGAAUAUCCCGGGAAGUUGUCAAGAAAAGGUACGAUUCCUUGACCCAUAAAAUGAAGACACCGGAAGAUUGCCGCAGGCUAUUGUCAACCGCAAAAGUCACAUUUUUGAAAGCCCUGGAUGCUGCUCAAAAGGACGAGACAGAUGAUCAGGUUAAAUUUGAGAUCGUCCAUUACCUGGAGGCGUUGCUGGUUCUGAAACACUUGCAGAGACCAGGGGUUGUACAGAACAUGACAAACACUGAAUGGAAAAACAGAAUUCACCACAGAUACACCAGCGGUAAUACGCAGAUACGUUUAACUAUCAUUGGCGUGGCAGAGCACAAGACAGCAACACAACAAGUGGCUGCAUUUGCCUUGACAGAAGAGGAAGAAAAGUGGUUCGACGUGUAUUAUCGUCACAUAAGACCGAGACUGGUGCGUGACAACUCCCCCACAGACAUCUUCUUCUUAUCGUCAAAUGGGAAGAAACUUCAUAGUGUUUCAAAUGACCUGUGGCGAUACCACCAAAGGUACAACAUUCCUAAUGUGUGCAGUCAGGAUGUGCGGCGAGUGUGUGAGACAUUUACUGUGUCACAAUACACGGACUCCGAGAGGCAUCUGUUUGCUAAGUACUUGGCACAUACCAAUGCGACAGCAGAGAGGAACUACCGGGAGAAAACUCUAGAUGACAUAUGCCACGCAUACCUGCUGGUCUCUGGGGCAGGUGCAAGCAGCAGUCAUGAGAGUCAAGCAGGCACCUCAAGAAGCGUAGAAGCCCCAACUGCGGUUGAAAAACCUCCCACACCAUCUUUCGAAAGUGGACGUAAACCAGUGGAAAACCAGCAGGAAGUCCAAAGUCGACCAUGCACACCACCACCACCUUUGGAAGAUGAAAGUGACAAUGAGGACCCAGAGUACCACCAACAGGAAGACGAAAGUCGACCAUACACACCACCACCACCUUUGGAAGAUGAAAGUGACAAUGAGGACCCAGAGUACCACCAACAGGAAGACGAAAGUGAGGAAACAUCCACAUCUUCACAAACUCGAUCAGACCCAGAGGACUACCAACAGGAAGUUGAUAGUGAUGAACCAUGCACAUCCCGCUUAAGAAGAUGUACAGAGGCUUUUGAAAUCGAAGCUGUAACCAAAGAACCAGUCACGCCCCAUUCAAAAGAACCAGUCACGCCCCAUUCAAAAGAACCAGUCACGCCCCAUUCAAGAUGCAAAAGACGGAGAGAAACAGACCAAGAGGAAGAUGCAACUGAAGAACCUCAGAUGUCCAAGCCACAAACAAGAAGACGUCCAGAAACAUACCAACAGGAGGACACAAGUGAUGAACCGUGCACAUCUUCAGGAACUGAAUGGGACCCAGAGGACCACCAACAGGAAGUCGAAAGUGAGGAAAUGUGUGCAUCUUCACAGCCUGAAUCAGACCCAGAGGACUACCAACAGAAAGUAGAAACUAAAAAACCAAGCACGCCCCAUUCAAGAAGCAAAAGACGGAGAGAAACAGACCAAGAGGAGGAUGCAACUGAAGAACCUCAGGUGUUCCAGCGACAAACCAGAAGAAGUCCAGAAACACACCAACAGAAGGAAGCGAAAGAAUUACUUCGCACAUCCUGUAAACACAAAAAAGUCGUGAUCAAGGCAGGCCUUUCAAGAGAAGACCUGUUCAGUGUAAUUGCAAAGGAGAUAUUCCCAAUAAGAAUAAAUAGUGAUCCUCCAGACUUAAAAAAAUGGAGGGAUCUUUCUCCAGAGCAUUGGUUAUACCUGUCUGACCGAUGGAGAAAAUCUCAAAAUUUAAUGCGAAGGAACUAUGUCGCCGAGCAUUUCCAGAAUCGGGAACACAAUAAGGCACAGAUCAAAAGGUUUUUACAGAUGAUGCAGUGGAACGUCAACAUGCCAAGGAUACCCGAUAUUCUGAAGAAAAUAGCUUCAUUACGUUAAAAAAAGGACAUAACUGAAGAACCUCAGGUGUUCCAGCGACAAACCAGAAGAAGUCCAGAAACACACCAACAGAAGGAAGCGCUUCAAGAAAUAAGCAAAGACAGUAGUGAAGAGAUGGAAGCGACUGAAAGUAUGGAACAAUACUCUGACGUCACUUUUAAAAGAUAUGUACAUUUAUUAAUUUAUUAUUAAUUAUCUAUGCUUCCUCUGACCCAACUUCCAUUUCUCCUGCUCUCUCUCUUUCUCUCUCUCUCUCUAAUGUCACUUUUAAAAGAUAUAUACAUUAUCUAUGCUUCCUCUGACCCAACUUCCAUUUCUCCUGCUCUCUCUCUUUCUCCCCCCCUCUCUCUCUCUCUCUCUCUCUCUCCCUCUCCCCUCUCCCAUCUCUCUCACCCCUCUCCCAUCUCUCUCCCUCUCUCCCCACUGUUGAUUGUUUGGUCAGCAGAAAUGUAAGAAAUGUUAUUUUUUUUAGGCUUCAAGAAAUAAGCAAAGACAGUAGUGAAGAGAUGGAAGCGACUGAAAGUAUGGAACAAUACUCUGACGUCACUUUUAAAAGAUAUGUACAUUUAUUAAUUUAUUAUUAAUUAUCUAUGCUUCCUCUGACCCAACUUCCAUUUCUCCUUCUUUCUCUCUCUCUCUCUCUCUUUCUCUCCCCUCUCUCUCUCUAUCUCUCUCUCUCUUUCUCUCCCCUCUCUCUUUCUCUCCCCUCUCUCUUUCUCUCCCUCUCCCUCUCUCCCCCUCUCUCUCUCUCCCCCUCUCUCCCCACUGUUGAUUGGUCAGCAGAAAUGUAAGUAAUGUUAUUUUUUUUUAGGUUUCAAGAAAUAAGCAAAGACCAUAGCGAAGA